rnacentral:rRNA from 1 species
GGAUGAACGCUGGCGGCGUGCCUAAUACAUGCAAGUCGAGCGAACGGACGAGAAGCUUGCUUCUCUGAUGUUAGCGGCGGACGGGUGAGUAACACGUGGAUAACCUACCUAUAAGACUGGGAUAACUUCGGGAAACCGGAGCUAAUACCGGAUAAUAUUUUGAACCGCAUGGUUCAAAAGUGAAAGACGGUCUUGCUGUCACUUAUAGAUGGAUCCGCGCUGCAUUAGCUAGUUGGUAAGGUAACGGCUUACCAAGGCAACGAUGCAUAGCCGACCUGAGAGGGUGAUCGGCCACACUGGAACUGAGACACGGUCCAGACUCCUACGGGAGGCAGCAGUAGGGAAUCUUCCGCAAUGGGCGAAAGCCUGACGGAGCAACGCCGCGUGAGUGAUGAAGGUCUUCGGAUCGUAAAACUCUGUUAUUAGGGAAGAACAUAUGUGUAAGUAACUGUGCACAUCUUGACGGUACCUAAUCAGAAAGCCACGGCUAACUACGUGCCAGCAGCCGCGGUAAUACGUAGGUGGCAAGCGUUAUCCGGAAUUAUUGGGCGUAAAGCGCGCGUAGGCGGUUUUUUAAGUCUGAUGUGAAAGCCCACGGCUCAACCGUGGAGGGUCAUUGGAAACUGGAAAACUUGAGUGCAGAAGAGGAAAGUGGAAUUCCAUGUGUAGCGGUGAAAUGCGCAGAGAUAUGGAGGAACACCAGUGGCGAAGGCGACUUUCUGGUCUGUAACUGACGCUGAUGUGCGAAAGCGUGGGGAUCAAACAGGAUUAGAUACCCUGGUAGUCCACGCCGUAAACGAUGAGUGCUAAGUGUUAGGGGGUUUCCGCCCCUUAGUGCUGCAGCUAACGCAUUAAGCACUCCGCCUGGGGAGUACGACCGCAAGGUUGAAACUCAAAGGAAUUGACGGGGACCCGCACAAGCGGUGG